rnacentral:rRNA from 1 species
AAAGAGUUCUAUAACUCCCAAACCCAUGUGAACAUACCUAACGUUGCCUCGGCAGGUCGCACCUACCUUGUAGCACCCUACCCUGUAGGGCCUACCCGGGAGGUGCGGGUAAGCCUGCCGGCGGCCCACCAAACUCUGUUUGAUAUUGAAUUCUGAACCUAUAACUAAAUAAGUUAAAACUUUCAACAACGGAUCUCUUGGUUCUGGCAUCGAUGAAGAACGCAGCGAAAUGCGAUAAGUAAUGUGAAUUGCAGAAUUCAGUGAAUCAUCGAAUCUUUGAACGCAUAUUGCGCCCAUUAGUAUUCUAGUGGGCAGGACCGUUCGAGCGUCAUUUCAACCCUUAAGCCUUCGUUGCUUAGUGUUGGGAGCCUACGGCAACGUAGCUCCUCAAAGUUAGUGGCGGAGUUGGUUCACACUCUAGACGUAGUAAUUUUUUAUCUCGCCUAUUAGUUGGACUAAUCCCCUGCCGUAAAACCCCUAAUUUAUCAAGGUUGACCUCGAAUCGGUUCAGACAAAC